GUUGUCUGAAAGUCAAAACAAAUCCUGUUCUGUAUUGGAAACGUGUCCUGGGUCUGCAGACUGGAAAGAAGUCUUGUUUAGCUUCUGGAGCCUGAGUGCUGUGGCUUCUGACAGGGCGCUCCUUGCUGUGCGGGGGGCCGCUUGGAAGGUGGAACCAAGCCCCCCCCACCAUAGGCCGGGGCUGGUGGAACCGUCUCUACACCUUCCUUCGCCGCCAUUUAAACUCACGGGCGAACCUGGAAGAGGACAGGAAGGGAGGAAGCUCGUAGCUGGAACUCACUGGAUAAAACCACGUCACGUGCUGCCAAGAGGCGGGCCUGUAACGUUGGUUGUGAAGAGUCUCAUCGAAGCGCCGCCCACUGUGGGACUGGCCUUUACGGUGUUUUCUCUCCUCUCGGGAGCCAGGCUCGCAGGAAGACGGUAGGCCGCACCAGGCUGGCUUUGUCCUCAGGUGGCCCUGGUGUCUUCUGCUCUGCAUCCAGGGGUCACCGUGCCUCUUCCCUGUGGGAGAGUAGAGAAGAACUGUUGACCAAGAUGCCUAAGGAUGGAAGCAAAGGAUGGAAGCAAAGCACAGGCUCCGCUGUGUGACCCAACCCAUGCUGUCGGCACAGGCUGUCCUUUUUCCUGGUGAAAAUGAUCCCGGGGGUGCUGUGCGCGUAGCACACAUCACUGCAUCAUGCUUUGUGGGCUCACAUGUCACAUCAAACUGUCGAUCCUACAACUUAAGCGGAGGGACGAGGCCUCAUUUGGGAGUUAGGACAGCGAGGGGGAGAACAGCUGAGUUUUCCUGUGUGCCAUGGAAGGUGUGGAAGUUGGCUGAGGGAGCAAAGGAUGACUAGUCAGCACCAGUCAAUAGGAGAGCCGGUGGACCCAAGACGGGCACUGGGGUCCUACUGAGAGGUCUUUGCUGCAGAAGGCGGUAGUGGCUCCAUAGUCGAAGACAACGUGAGUAUAAGACCCCUCAGUAGCGCUGGCCUGAAAGAUGGCCACCCGUGGGGUCAGCUGGGGUAAGUGACUCAGAUAUCUUGGGGAAGGGGGAGGAUAGUCCCAAUCCCAAGACCUCCCUGUUGUUAAUGCUGACACUAAGGCAUUCUAGAAAACU